GCCUUCUUGGCUCAGUUUGGCAGAGCGUCUGCCUAGUAAGCAGAAGGCCGCCAGUUCAAGUCUGGCAGAAGGCA